GCUGAUGAAGUACUUCGGUAAUGAAUCUUGGAUAUCUUAGUGGCGGACGGGUGAGUAACGCGUGAGCAACCUGCCUUUCAGAGGGGGAUAACGUUUGGAAACGAACGCUAAUACCGCAUGACAUUAUCUUAUCGCAUGGUAGGAUAAUCAAAGGAGCAAUCCGCUGAAAGAUGGGCUCGCGUCCGAUUAGGUAGUUGGUGGGGUAACGGCCCACCAAGCCGACGAUCGGUAGCCGGACUGAGAGGUUGGACGGCCACAUUGGGACUGAGACACGGCCCAGACUCCUACGGGAGGCAGCAGUAAGGGAUAUUGGUCAAUGGGGGAAACCCUGAACCAGCAACGCCGCGUGAGGGAAGACGGUUUUCGGAUUGUAAACCUCUGUCCUCUGUGAAGAUGAUGACGGUAGCAGAGGAGGAAGCUCCGGCUAACUACGUGCCAGCAGCCGCGGUAAUACGUAGGGAGCGAGCGUUGUCCGGAUUUACUGGGUGUAAAGGGUGCGUAGGCGGCUUGGCAAGUCAGUAGUGAAAUCCAUGGGCUUAACCCAUGAACUGCUAUUGAAACUGUCGAGCUUGAGUGAAGUAGAGGUAGGCGGAAUUCCCGGUGUAGCGGUGAAAUGCGUAGAGAUCGGGAGGAACACCAGUGGCGAAGGCGGCCUACUGGGCUUUAACUGACGCUGAGGCACGAAAGCGUGGGUAGCAAACAGGAUUAGAUACCCUGGUAGUCCACGCUGUAAACGAUGAUUACUAGGUGUGGGUGGACUGACCCCAUCCGUGCCGGAGUUAACACAAUAAGUAAUCCACCUGGGGAGUACGGCCGCAAGGCUGAAACUCAAAGGAAUUGACGGGGGCCCGCACAAGCAGUGGAGUAUGUGGAUUAAUUC
rnacentral:rRNA from 1 species